CUAACCCACUCUCCCACUCUUCCUCCCUCUCGCUCCUGGCUCCCUCCUCCCUACGACGGCACGGUGCACACUCGGCACCUCCUCCCUCCUCCUAUGUUCUUAAGGGGCUCAGUGAGCGGCGGGUGCAACGGAUGCAGGAGCGCGUGGUGAAGAUGAUCCCGCGGCUGGUGUACGCGUCAUCGUCCGAUGGGUUCGGCGACGGCAUGGAGGACACCCUCGAUGUGGUGCUGCGCGGCGUGCUGGAGCGGUUCCGACGGCGCCGGGCGAGCACCGCGCCUGUAGGCAAAGAGUUGAUCUUUUGGAGAUGGACAAGGACAUAACAGUAACAGAAGAAGAGGUUUGGGCAACAAUAAAAGAAUUGCCUGCUGAUAGGGUGUCGGGUCCAGAUGAAUUCAUCGGGCGUUUCUACAAGCCGUGUUAGCCAACAAUUAAAUCGGACUUCAUGGCAGCCAUCAUCGUGUUACAGACAUCAUCACCCGGUUUCUCAAAAUAUCUUUUUAGGGUUUGUUUCUUGCACUGGUAGACUCCUCAUUGUAGCUUUUUGUAAAUUCUAAUAUACACAUUGUUAGUAAAUGUAUACUCAACUGAAAGCUCCUUAAUUUAUCAAUCAGUUAUUUCCUUGUGAACUUC